rnacentral:rRNA from 1 species
GCCGGAAGGUGCAAGCGUUGCUCGGAAUCACUGGGCGUAAAGGGUGCGUAGGCGGCCGUGUAAGUCUGGCGUGAAAGCCCCGGGCUCAGCCCGGGAAGUGCGCUCGAAACUGCACGGCUCGAGUGCCGGAGGGGAGAGUGGAAUUCCUGGUGUAGCGGUGAAAUGCGUAGAUAUCAGGAGGAACACCUAUUGCGAAGGCAGCUCGCUGGGACGUAACUGACGCUGAGACGCGAAAGCGUGGGGAGCAAACAGG